rnacentral:rRNA from 1 species
GUGCCAGCAGCCGCGGUAAGACGGAGGGGGCUAGCGUUGUUCGGAAUGACUGGGCGUAAAGGGUGCGUAGGCGGUUUUUUCUAAGUAAGGCGUGAAAGCCCUGGGCUCAACCCAGGAACUGCGCUUUAAACUGGAAGACUUGAGGGUGAGAGAGGAAAGUGGAAUUCCUAGUGUAGAGGUGAAAUUCGUAGAGAUUAGGAAGAACACCAGAGGCGAAGGCGGCUUUCUGGAUCACAACUGACGCUGAGGCACGAAAGCGUGGGGAGCAAACAGGAUUAGAUACCCUGGUAGUCC